rnacentral:rRNA from 1 species
AACGAACGCUGGCGGCAGGCUUAACACAUGCAAGUCGAACGGUCUCUUCGGAGGCAGUGGCAGACGGGUGAGUAACGCGUGGGAAUCUACCCAGAUCUACGGAACAACAGUUGGAAACGACUGCUAAUACCGUAUACGCCCUACGGGGGAAAGAUUUAUCGGAUUUGGAUGAGCCCGCGUAAGAUUAGCUAGUUGGUGAGGUAAUGGCUCACCAAGGCGACGAUCUUUAGCUGGUCUGAGAGGAUGAUCAGCCACACUGGGGCUGAGACACGGCCCAGACUCCUACGGGAGGCAGCAGUGGGGAAUAUUGGACAAUGGGCGCAAGGCUGAUCCAGCCAUGCCGCGUGAGUGAUGAAGGCCUUAGGGUUGUAAAGCUCUUUCAGUGGGGAAGAUAAUGACGGUACCCACAGAAGAAGCCCCGGCUAACUUCGUGCCAGCAGCCGCAGUAAAAC